AUUGAACGCUGGCGGCAGGCCUAACACAUGCAAGUCGAGCGAGCGGCGGACGGGUGAGUAAUGUAUGGGGACCUGCCCGGUAGAGGGGGAUAACUAAUGGAAACAGUGGCUAAUACCGCAUACUAUCGGAGCGACCCAUAUUGGAUUAGCUAGUUGGUGGGGUAAAGGCUCACCUAGGCGACGAUCUCUAGCUGGUCUGAGAGGAUGAUCAGCCACACUGGGACUGAGACACGGCCCAGACUCCUACGGGAGGCAGCAGUGGGGAAUAUUGGACAAUGGGCGCAAGCCUGAUGCAGCCAUGCCGCGUGUAUGAAGAAGGCCUUAGGGUUGUAAAGGACUUUCGGUGGGGAGGCGUUACCCGAAGAAGAAGCACCGGCUAACUCCGUGCCAGCAGCCGCGGUAAUUC
rnacentral:rRNA from 1 species